rnacentral:rRNA from 1 species
AUUGAACGCUGGCGGCAUGCUUUACACAUGCAAGUCGAACGGCAGCACAGGGAGCUUGCUCCCGGGUGGCGAGUGGCGCACGGGUGAGUAAUACAUCGGAACGUGUCCUGUUGUGGGGGAUAACUGCUCGAAAGGGUGGCUAAUACCGCAUGAGACCUGAGGGUGAAAGCGGGGGAUCGCAAGACCUCGCGCAAUUGGAGCGGCCGAUGCCCGAUUAGCUAGUUGGUGAGGUAAAGGCUCACCAAGGCGACGAUCGGUAGCUGGUCUGAGAGGACGACCAGCCACACUGGGACUGAGACACGGCCCAGACUCCUACGGGAGGCAGCAGUGGGGAAUAUUGCACAAUGGGGGAAACCCUGAUGCAGCGACGCCGCGUGGAGGAAGAAGGUCUUCGGAUUGUAAACUCCUGUUGUUGGGGAAGAUAAUGACGGUACCCAACAAGGAAGUGACGGCUAACUACGUG